rnacentral:rRNA from 1 species
GGUUGCGGACAGUGUCUGGUGGGUAGUUUGACUGGGGCGGUCUCCUCCUAAAGAGUAACGGAGGAGCACGAAGGUUGGCUAAUCCUGGUCGGACAUCAGGAGGUUAGUGCAAUGGCAUAAGCCAGCUUGACUGCGAGCGUGACGGCGCGAGCAGGUGCGAAAGCAGGUCAUAGUGAUCCGGUGGUUCUGAAUGGAAGGGCCAUCGCUCAACGGAUAAAAGGUACUCCGGGGAUAACAGGCUGAUACCGCCCAAGAGUUCAUAUCGACGGCGGUGUUUGGCACCUCGAUGUCGGCUCAUCACAUCCUGGGGCUGAAGUAGGUCCCAAGGGUAUGGCUGUUCGCCAUUUAAAGUGGUACGCGAGCUGGGUUUAGAACGUCGUGAGACAGUUCGGUCCCUAUCUGCCGUGGGCGCUGGAGAACUGAGGGGGGCUGCUCCUAGUACGAGAGGACCGGAGUGGACGCAUCACUGGUGUUCGGGUUGUCAUGCCAAUGGCACUGCCCGGUAGCUAAAUGCGGAAGAGAUAAGUGCUGAAAGCAUCUAAGCACGAAACUUGCCCCGAGAUGAGUUCUCCCUGAGACUUA